GCAGAACGCGAAGAACCUUACCUACUCUUGACAUCCAGAGAACUUAGCAGAGAUGCUUUGGUGCCUUCGGGAACUCUGAGACAGGUGCUGCAUGGCUGUCGUCAGCUCGUGUUGUGAAAUGUUGGGUUAAGUCCCGCAACGAGCGCAACCCUUAUCCUUUGUUGCCAGCGGUUCGGCCGGGAACUCAAAGGAGACUGCCAGUGAUAAACUGGAGGAAGGUGGGGAUGACGUCAAGUCAUCAUGGCCCUUACGAGUAGGGCUACACACGUGCUACAAUGGCGUAUACAAAGAGAAGCGACCUCGCGAGAGCAAGCGGACCUCAUAAAGUACGUCGUAGUCCGGAUUGGAGUCUGCAACUCGACUCCAUGAAGUCGGAAUCGCUAGUAAUCGUAGAUCAGAAUGCUACGGUGAAUACGUUCCCGGGUCUUGUACACACCG
rnacentral:rRNA from 1 species